rnacentral:rRNA from 1 species
AGCGAACGCUGGCGGCAGGCUUAACACAUGCAAGUCGAACGGGCGUAGCAAUACGUCAGUGGCAGACGGGUGAGUAACGCGUGGGAACGUACCGUUUGGUUCGGAACAACCCAGGGAAACUUGGGCUAAUACCGGAUAAGCCCUUACGGGGAAAGAUUUAUCGCCGAAAGAUCGGCCCGCGUCUGAUUAGCUUGUUGGUGAGGUAACGGCUCACCAAGGCGACGAUCAGUAGCUGGUCUGAGAGGAUGAUCAGCCACAUUGGGACUGAGACACGGCCCAAACUCCUACGGGAGGCAGCAGUGGGGAAUAUUGGACAAUGGGCGCAAGCCUGAUCCAGCCAUGCCGCGUGAGUGAUGAAGGCCCUAGGGUUGUAAAGCUCUUUUGUGCGGGAAGAUAAUGACGGUACCGCAAGAAUAAGCCCCGGCUAACUUCGUGCCAGCCGCCGCCGU